rnacentral:rRNA from 1 species
AGCGUAUAUUAAAGUUGUUGCAGUUAAAAAGCUCGUAGUUGAAUUUCGGGAUCAAUUAGUCGGUCGUGCCUCUGGUACGUACUGGUUUUAUUGGUUCCUCCCUUCUGACGAAACAUGAUGUCAUUAAUUUGGUGUCGUGGAGAAUCAGGACUGUUACCUUGAAAAAAUUAGAGUGUUUAUAGCAGGCUAACGCUUGAAUACAUUAGCAUGGAAUAAUGAAAUAGGACGUUCGACCCUAUUUUGUUGGUUUCUAGGAUCGACGUAAUGAUUAAUAGGGAUAGUUGGGGGCAUUAGUAUUCAAUUGUCAGAGGUGAAAUUCUUGGAUUUAUUGAAGACUAACUACUGCGAAAGCAUUUGCCAAGGAUGUUUUCAUUAAUCAAGAACGAAAGUUAGGGGAUCGAAGACGAUCGGAUACCGUCGUAGUCUUAACCAUAAACUAUGCCGACUAGGGAUCGGAUGAUGUUAAUUUUUUAAUGACUCAUUC